rnacentral:rRNA from 1 species
CAGUCGCCGCGGUAACACGAAGGGUGCAAGCGUUAAUCGGAAUUACUGGGCGUAAGGCGUGCGUAGGCGGUUUGUUAAGUCUGUUGUGAAAUCCCCGGGCUCAACCUGGGAAUGGCGAUGGAUACUGGCAAGCUAGAGUGUGUCAGAGGAUGGUGGAAUUCCCGGUGUAGCGGUGAAAUGCGUAGAGAUCGGGAGGAACAUCAGUGGCGAAGGCGGCCAUCUGGGACAACACUGACGCUGAGGCACGAAAGCGUGGGGAGCAAACAGGAUUAGAGACCCCAGUAGUCCCUGUCUCUUAUAC